rnacentral:lncRNA from 1 species
GCGUGGCUAUGCCAAGGUGGGCGGGGCUGCGGGCCGGAGGGAAAAGUCCGGGUUUUGCGGACUUUUGCGGCUGCCCUGUUUGAUUCUACUAGGCCUCCCUCCAGGCAUAAACUGAAAUUCGGGAUGUUAAACGCUGGAGAAGUUUGAUUUGCGCCAGUGAUGAGGUCAGGCCUCCUGCACUUCGGAAAGACCCGCCAAGCUUCCAAGUUAGGAGGUGUUCCAGCUCUGCCUGCCAACUAACACAUUCAUCGCUUUUUUCUUCCUUUCCUCCCUUCUGCUUCUUCCAUCCCCUUUUUCCUUUUCUUCUCUUCCCUUCCUGAACUGUUUCUGUUGCACAUACCAACAUCACUGAAAAUGUUUUGUCAGUAAAGAUAUCCUAGUGGGGAAAAACAAAAUGAAUUUAGGGUUCUUGUGUAAACCCGCUCUUUCCCAACACGCAUUUCUUGAAUUUUUCUGGGUGAUCUCACUAAACGGACCAGAGUGGUUCAGGGUGAUCACCUCAAGCUACGCCAGGUUCCUGAGAGGAUUGCAAGCCCAGUAGCUCAAGGCAGCAGGAGAGAGAAGUCAUAGUCCUACAAUUAUUAGUCAAUUGAUUUUACCUCAAAGCAUUCAGAGUUUGUUCCUCAUGGCCUCAAGAAAAAUCAUUAUCUGCCAAUACUUCCUUCACUCCCACUUUUGCUUAUUUUUGUCCGCUUAAUCCACAUUACAGCAGCAACAACAAAAACAAAAACCCUAAAGUUAGAGAAACCCCUUCACCCCAAAUGUGAUUUGCCUUUGGAUGCCCACAGACUUGUAGGUUAGACAGGACAAGCAUGCAGGUGAGAAAACAGGUGCAGAAAGGUGCAACAACUUGCCUAAAUGGAAGAGUGUCACAUCCAAAAUUAGAAACUAGAAAUCCUAACUCCUGU